rnacentral:rRNA from 1 species
CGCGGUAAUUCCAGCUCCAAUAGCGUAUACUAAAGUGUUGCAGUUAAAAAGCUCGUAGUUGGAUUACUGGCGGGGACGGCUGGUCGGUCUCGAAAGGGGCUGUACUGUUGUUGGUUCCCGUCAUCCUUGGGGAGAGCGGCUCUUACAUUAAGUUGUCGGCGUCGGGAUCCCUAUCUUUUACUGUGAAAAAAUUAGAGUGUUCAAAGCAGGCUUAGGCCCUGAAUACAUUAGCAUGGAAUAAUAAGAUACGACCUUGGUGGUCUAUUUUGUUGGUUUGCACGCCAAGGUAAUGAUUAAUAGGGAUAGUUGGGGGUAUUCGUAUUCAAUUGUCAGAGGUGAAAUUCUUGGAUUUAUGGAAGACGAACUACUGCGAAAGCAUUUACCAAGGAUGUUUUCAUUAAUCAAGAACGAAAGUUAGGGGAUCGAAGAUGAUUAGAUACCAUCGUAGUCUUAACCAUAAACUAUGCCGACUAGGGAUCGGUGGGUGCAUUUUUAGGCCUCAUCGGCACCUUAUGAGAAAUCAAAGUCUUUGGGUUCCGGGGGGAGUAUGGUCGCAAGGCUGAAACUUAAAGAAAUUGACGG